rnacentral:rRNA from 1 species
CCUGCUCACUGAUUUUAUUUUUGAAGAGCCGCGGUAUUUUGACCGUGCAAAGGUAGCAUAAUCAUUAGUUUCUUAAUUGGAUGCUGGAAUGAAUGGUUUGACGAGAAAUUAACUGUCUCUUAAUAAAUUAUAAAAUUUAACUUUUAAGUUAAAAGGCUUAAAUAUAUCUUUAGGACGAGAAGACCCUAUAGAGCUUAACAUUAAAAGUUUUUUGUGUUUUAUCUUGUUUAUCUUUCUAUAAUAAAUUUUAAUGUUUGGUUGGGGUGACAUAAAGAAUAAAUAAACUCUUUAUUAUAAAAUCAUUAAUUUAUGUUUAUUUGAUCCAUAAUUUAUGAUCAUAAGAUUAAGUUACCUUAGGGAUAACAGCGUAAUCAUUUUUGAGAGUUCUUAUCAAUAAAAUGGGUUGCGACCUCGAUGUUGGAUUAAGAAUAAUAUUGGGUGUAGUAGCUUAAUAAUUAGGUCUGUUCGACUUUAAAUUCUUACGUGAUCUGAGUUC